UACGUAGGCAGCGAGCGUUGUUCGGAAUUACUGGGCGUAAAGAGUGUGUAGGCGGUGCUCUAAGUUCGGUGUGAAAUCUCCUGGCUCAACUGGGAGGGUGCGCUACAAACUGUCUGACUAGAGUGUGGGAUGGGUAAGUGGAAUUCCUGGUGUAGCGGUGAAAUGCGUAGAUAUCAAGGAGGAACACCGGUGGUGUAGACGGCUUACUGGACCAUAACUGACGCUGAGACACGAAAGCGUGGGUAGCAAACAGG
rnacentral:rRNA from 1 species